AACGAACGCUGGCGGCGUGCCUAACACAUGCAAGUCGUACGAGAAAGCGGGCUUCGGCCCGUGAGUAAAGUGGCAGACGGGUGAGUAACACGUGGGUAACCUGCCCGGAGGUGGGGGAUAACCCUCCGAAAGGAGGGCUAAUACCGCAUGACACCUCGCGGCCUCGGCCGUCGAGAUCAAAGCUAGCCUCUACUCGUAAGCUAGCGCCACCGGAGGGGCCCGCGCCCCAUUAGCUUGUUGGUGAGGUAACGGCUCACCAAGGCUGCGAUGGGUAGCCGGCCUGAGAGGGUGAUCGGCCACACUGGAACUGAGACACGGUCCAGACUCCUACGGGAGGCAGCAGUGAGGAAUUUUGCGCAAUGGGCGAAAGCCUGACGCAGCGACGCCGCGUGGAGGACGAAGGCCUUCGGGUCGUAAACUCCUGUCGAGCGGGACGAAUGCCGCAGGGAUGAAUAAGCCUUGCGGUUGACGGUACCGCUGGAGGAAGCCCCGGCUAACUCCGUG
rnacentral:rRNA from 1 species